rnacentral:rRNA from 1 species
UACGGAGGGUGCGAGCGUUGUCCGGAAUCAUUGGGCGUAAAGGGCGCGUAGGUGGCCCGGUCAGUUCGUGGUGAAAGCGCGGGGCUCAACUCCGCGUCGGCCAUGAAUACUGCUGGGCUUGAGCACUGUAGAGGCAGGCGGAAUUCCGGGUGUAGCGGUGGAAUGCGUAGAGAUCCGGAAGAACACCAACGGCGAAAGCACUCUGCUGGGCCGACACUGACACUGAGAGACGAAAGCUAGGGGAGCGAAUGGG